rnacentral:lncRNA from 1 species
GUAGAAACACUCAUGCAACCUAAAAAAUCUUACAGGCGUCGUGAUUCUGAUCCAAAUUGAAGUCUUCUUCAAAAUUGAUAAUCGUCGAUGCUAUUGAUUGUUGCCUUCACAGGUACACCUACUGAUAAAUUGUAGAUUUAGGAUCUAGAAACCUUUAUUUGUUGUUUCGUAGCAAUAUCCAUAGAGUUUUUGAGUUCUUUUUAGAGGGAUGAACCUCCAUCGAAAUUAACACCAAAAGAAAACUCUAAUCCCUUGUGAAUAUGCCAUGAAGUGACCCGUAGCUGCUGAGAAAGUCUUUCCACCAAAUGAAAUCAUUUGUGAAGUGGCUUUGAUUUUGUGUGAUUUUUUAUGUGUUGUAUCUACUGAAAUUGUAUCGCAUCUCUCUUCUACUUCUGUGGAAUUUCCUUUUGUUAAUAAAGAUCUCAUUCCCUAUUUUUUGUAACUCUCGAACACGGGCUCUUACUCUUAUUUGCUAACAGUAUUUAUUGAGCUUUGUAUGGUAGUUCCUUAUUAUUAGUAUAUGUGAUUGUAUCUGCACAUGCAAAAUAAGCAAUACAGUUAGUUAAAAAAUCUGGGAGUUGGUUCCCUUCUGUAUAAUUGUGUCUGAUUAGGACCUCCCCAUGAUUCUCCAUUCUCGAAUCAAUUCAACUCCUAUGAUUAUUGUCCAUUGGCAGUCUCAAAUUUCAUUAUUCACUUUCUGCAAAAUCAGUUCAGUCUCCAAAUAAGUGGAAAAAUUUUAUUUCUAACAAAAAAAUCCAAGCCCUCUUGGAUAGCCAAAGAUUCAGCUUUCAAGCAAGUAGUAUUAGGAAUGCUCUUAGCUUCUGCAUAUAUUAAAUCUCCAUGACAAUCUCUUACACAAAAAGCCACAAAGCUGAAACCUGUUCUUUCUCUAACAGAAGCGUCAGCAUUACAUUUGAAUGAUCCACUUGGAGGUAAUUCCCAUCUCACAAUCUAACAACCACUUCUCCCACUAUUCUUUUGAUUCUCCAAUUUAUCAAUCAAUGAUGGCCAAUUACUAGGGAAUUUUGGUUUGAAGGAAAUCUUACUUUUGCAAAAAAGUAAGGAUUUUGAUUUAUAUCAUGAACUACCCUAUGUUUGGACAUAGUCCCUCUGCGAAGAAUGUUAUUCCUCCUCUUCCAUAGUUGUCACACAAUAAAAGCUGGGAUUGCCAACAAAAGUGGUUGAUUCUAGGAAAACUUUCAGCUUUCCACCACAUAAUAAUUACUUGAUUAACUUGAAUGAAAUUUCCCUGAAUGCCUACUGCAUCUGAAUACAACCUCCCUAUGCUAUUGGCAAAUUCUCCAGUGAGAAAUAAGUCAUCUUUUCCACUUGAGGAUUAUCACAAUAUCUAGACCUAGAGAUCGUAUAAACACUAUUUCUAGCCAAUAUCUCAUCCACCGAUAGUUUUUGCAUCUGCAUUCUCCACAUAAAAAUGAGAUUUUGAAAGACAUACGUGUCAUCGACAUCUGUUUGAAAAUCCAUUGCUCCUCCUCCUUAUGUCUUAGAUAUUCCCAAGUACUUUUAACUAAGAAUUUACUAUUGCUUGUAAGUAGCCACCAUGUUUUGUCCUUUACUUUUGAUUUCACUCUUUCAGAAUAAUCCUCAAGAAUGUAAUUAACCAGGUUUAUUGAUAACUGUCGCUUCAAAAUAACUUCAUUCCAUUUGCCAGCUUAAAAAAAAUAUUCUUCACCUCUACAGUGUGAAUGAUCAGAUCUGUUGGUAUAUGCUGAUAUGAAGAACCCAACUCGGUCCAAUUAUCAUACCAAAAACUAGUUGUGCCAUUCUCGGGAUCCCAUCAGAUUUGAUGCUCUAGCUCAUCUCUAGCUUCAAGCAUCUUCUUUCGUAGUUGUUGAUACCAGCACGAUUAACUUGGAGCAUAUAUAUAUAUAUAUAUAUAUAUAUAUAUAUAUGGAUGAUAGCUUGAAAUCUAAAAGAAGGCAUGAAGAAACAAAUACAAAAGUUCAUGGACAAUCAAGAUGCCAUUUGGGCAAUCAAGAAGGUCCCUUGUGGGUUAUUUGUAAAAUAGUCACUUUUGAGCUGUUUUUUGUAAUAGACUAUUUCUGUAAAGACAAUGGCUAUAAAUAGUUGCUUCAUUACUUAAAUUUUGGAUGACUCAAUUGUCUUGAAAAGACUUGAUAUUUAGUUACUCUACAUUAGGUUAGUAAUUAGGUUUAAUUUCAAUUAUUAGAUUAGAUCGAGUGAUUUGGGUGGAUUCCCAAAUUGCUUGUGUUAUCUUCUUCACUUGAUUGUUCAUUGAGUUGUCAUAUUGUGGUUUCAAUUUAGUUUCUCGUGCAUUUGAUUGAGUUCUCUUUCUCCCUUGGUUUAGUUGUUGUUCAAUUAAGCCCUUCUUUCCUCACUUCUCAUCUCUUGUUUCUUAAUUAUCCUUUAAUUUUAUUGUUUAAUUCCGCAUUUUUGAUAUUGAUUUUAGUCACUCGGUUAAGAUCGUUAUCAAUUGUGACCCCCUCUCCAUGAAAUCAUAGUAUGAAUUUUCUUCUUACGGUACUUUUCCAUAUUAAUGUGGACAAUAAAGUGCCUGAAGUCCUAAAAUUCUACCAGAACUUAGUAAAUAGAGCAUUUGAGACUUCAAAUAAAGACCCCCUUCCUCAGUAGGAAGAUCUCCAAUGUCUUCUUUUCCCCUUUUCCUUAUUACUCCAAAAAACCCUAACAAAUAUUCUCUGUAUUUCAUUUUGGUAGGUGCCAUAGUAGAAAAGAGAUAAAGAGGCAUACUUUGAAGGAUAUUUUUAAUAAGAAUAGCCUUGCCUUCAUAUGAUAAAAGCUUUCCCUUCCAGUGUUGAAGUUUAACCUUGAUCUUUUUUAUAAGAUUAUUAUAAAAGGCUUUAUCUUUCUAGCAUGAAAAAUAGGACAUCCCAAGUACUUAAAAGGGAAAAGUACCUCUACAAAAACCUGUAAUCUCAGCCACCUCUUGAGCCAGAUUUUCAUCUACCCUUUGAUGCGUAUAGAAAAAAGACUUAUCAACAUUGAUCUUCUGGCCAAAAAUCUUUUCAUCAUCAUGCAGUGUUGACUUGAUCAUCACUAGUGAUUG